rnacentral:rRNA from 1 species
UACGUAGGGCGCAAGCGUUGUCCGGAAUUAUUGGGCGUAAAGAGCUCGUAGGCGGUCUGUCGCGUCUGGUGUGAAAUCCCAUGGCUCAACUGUGGGCUUGCAUCGGGUACGGGCAGACUAGAGUGCUGUAGGGGAGACUGGAAUUCCUGGUGUAGCGGUGGAAUGCGCAGAUAUCAGGAGGAACACCGAUGGCGAAGGCAGGUCUCUGGGCAGUUACUGACGCUGAGGCGCGAAAGCGUGGGGAGCAAACAGG